rnacentral:rRNA from 1 species
AGCGGAGGGAUCAUUAUAGAGUUUUCUAAACUCCCAACCCAUGUGAACUUACCUUUUGUUGCCUCGGCAGAAGUUAUAGGUCUUCUUAUAGCUGCUGCCGGUGGACCAUUAAACUCUUGUUAUUUUAUGUAAUCUGAGCGUCUUAUUUUAAUAAGUCAAAACUUUCAACAACGGAUCUCUUGGUUCUGGCAUCGAUGAAGAACGCAGCGAAAUGCGAUAAGUAAUGUGAAUUGCAGAAUUCAGUGAAUCAUCGAAUCUUUGAACGCACAUUGCGCCCAUUAGUAUUCUAGUGGGCAUGCCUGUUCGAGCGUCAUUUCAACCCUUAAGCCUAGCUUAGUGUUGGGAAUCUACUUCUCUUAGGAGUUGUAGUUCCUGAAAUACAACGGCGGAUUUGUAGUAUCCUCUGAGCGUAGUAAUUUUUUUCUCGCUUUUGUUAGGUGCUAUAACUCCCAGCCGCUAAACCCCCAAUUUUUUGUGGUUGACCUCGGAUCAGGUAGGAAUACCCGCUGAACUUAAGCAUAUCAAUAACGAGAAAAG